rnacentral:rRNA from 1 species
UACGUAGGGUGCAAGCGUUAAUCGGAAUUACUGGGCGUAAAGCGUGCGCAGGCGGUUAUGUAAGACAGAUGUGAAAUGCCCGGGCUUAACUCGGAAAGGUCAACUGAUACUGUGCGACUAGAGUGCGGAAGGGGCAACUGGAAUUCUCGGUGUAGCGGUGAAAUGCGUAGAUAUCGAGAGGAACACCUGCGGCGAAGGCGGGUUGCUGGGCCGACACUGACGCUGAGGCGCGAAAGCCAGGGGAGCAAACGGG